GGUUGGCUUCACCAGCGCCCCUGGACAGGGGGGCAUCCUGGCUCAGCGGGAGUUUGAUAGAAGAUUCUCCCCCCAUUUUCUGGACUGGGCAGCCUUUGGAGUCAUGACGCUUCCGUCCAUCGGCAUCCCCCUGCUGCUGUGGUACUCCAGCAAGAGGAAAUACGACACUCCCAAGACCAAGAAGAACUGAGUGGGGCGGCCACGACCCUCCCUCCCCAGGAGACCCAGGUGCUUUCCGGAUUCCGAAGCGGAUCUCGAAUGCAGUCUCUUCUCCCCUCGCCCCUGCCACCCUCUCCUGGAUCCUGUCUGCUCUCAAGCAGAGUGAAGGGCGGGGCCUCCCCUCCAUCCUGAAGCCGUACCGACAGGGACGCCUCCUUUGCCUCUGGCCUCAAAGGCCCUCGGGUGCCCACCGUCGAGCCGGGCAGGCGGGCGGGGAGAACUCCGAGGGGUCCAGGAGGGACGCUCAGGAGACUGCGUGGUGCUGCCCACCCAGAAGAGGCUGGAAGACGACGUGAAGGCCGAGGGACUCUCGAAGGCAUGCCCGGUCUCUGCUCUGGGUCAGGGAAGCUCUGACCAAAUGGGGUUUUCUAAUAAAAACUGA